CCUACGGGAGGCAGCAGUGGGGAAUAUUGGGCAAUGGGCGCAAGCCUGACCCAGCAACGCCGCGUGAAGGAAGAAGGCUUUCGGGUUGUAAACUUCUUUUAUGAGGGACGAAACAAAUGACGGUACCUCAUGAAUAAGCCACGGCUAACUACGUGCCAGCAGCCGCGGUAAUACGUAGGUGGCAAGCGUUAUCCGGAUUUACUGGGUGUAAAGGGCGUGUAGGCGGGACUGCAAGUCAGAUGGGAAAAUUAUGGGCUCAACCCAUAACCUGCAUUUGAAAAUGAAGUUCUUGAGUGAUGGAGAGG
rnacentral:rRNA from 1 species